rnacentral:tRNA from 1 species
AUUUAUAUAGUUUAAAAAAACAUUACAUUUUCAAUGUAAAAUAGAGUAAAAACUCUAUAAAUA